rnacentral:lncRNA from 1 species
GUUUUUGUACGGAGAUUCAUCGUGCUUUCUUCUUUGUUUUUCUUCUCAUUUUCGUCGUGUUCUCUUCUCUGCUUCGUGACCUAACACGAGUCCUCCUUCUUUCUUUCUUGUUUUUUUUCCCUUUUUUUGGGUCAGUGAUAAGGGAGGCCUUUUUCUUUACUGGUGGAGUAUUAUUUUUCUUCCAUGACCAGCCUUGCUGCUUUUUGUUGUUUUUUAGCCU